rnacentral:rRNA from 1 species
UCGCAGGAUGGAUGAGCCUGCGUUGGAUUAGCUGUGGUGACGGUAAUGGCCUACCAAGGCUACGAUCCAUAGCUGAUUUGAGAGAAUGAUCAGCCACAUUGGGAACUCGAGGACACGGCCCAAAACCGUCCUACGGGAGGCAGCAGUGAGGAAUAUUCGGACAAUGGGGGAAACCCUGAUCCAGCAAUGCCAUGUGUGUGAAGAAGGCCUUAGGGUUGUAAAGCACUUUAGUUGGGGAAGAAAGCUUUAAGGUUAAUAACCUUGAGGAAGGACGUUACCCAAAGAAUAAGCACCGGCUAACUCCGUGC